UGGCUGCUCUCAGCGGCUCUACCUACUAACGGAUCCGCAUCUCCGAUAAGUAAUAAUCUCUGCUUAAUGUUUCAUCAUCAAAUCACGAUUUUUAUAUGAGAAUCGAUGUGAUAUUUUUAGAGUUUUAUUGGGAGUAUUGAGUUAAAGUCUGAAGUUGAUGUUUGCUUUGCUUAGGCAUGUUAGUGUUCGUGAUGGUAGUUACAGUACUUGUAGUUGAAGGUGUUUAGGAAGUUUGUUUCAGUUGGGGAUGUAAUGGGAUAGAUAUAGGUGUAUACAAAGGACUUCUUGAAGAUGAGAGAAUCUGGAGAGAGUGAGGAAGCAAAAUUACAACAAAUUGCUUAUUCGUGUGGACGACAUCACUAGGGAUGACUUUAAAUUGAAAGAACUUGGGGAAGAGAACCAUUUUGAACAUGUCCAGAACUCACAAGCUUCAUUGAGUAUUAUCUCUUGAGUAUAAGGGAUGGAUGUCUUCUCCUGACAGCGUCUGCAGUAGUGCCCACCGAAGCAAGAAGUUUUGCUACUUUCAGUAAUUCAACCGAGCUGCUAGAGCAAACCAAGAUGAGUGAAGAUGAGUCCAUUCCAAUGCUUCUCAGUCUUCAACUCCAUCAUCACAGUCCAAUUGCGGUGGCAUCUUAGACUCUGAUCAGCAAGUAUCAGCAGAGGCGGUGAUCGGAAGUAAUGAUGAUUGGAGAUUAGAAGUUACAGCUGAUGAUUCACAGCCGUUAGUGGAGGAUCCAGAACUCGUAUCUGGGGAAGCAAAGAAGAUAUGAAGGGAACAAUUGAAGUUCAAAGUGAUGAGGCUUCUCCUCCAACACAGACACAGACUCGAGUCACAACUCACAAGAGGUAAAAAUGCUAUGGACACUGUCAGUUCUCAAGUGCAUGGAGAUGAAAAUAGAUGGUCGAGGCAUUGCUGACAACAAGUACUUGUGGAUAAUUAACUUCCCAAUAAACUAUAAAAUGAAGAAAUGUUAAAGUUACAUCAACAACUCUUUACAACCAUUUUGUAUAGGGAGGUUAGCAUUGCAGAGCAGGUGGCUUAUCUAAUCAACAAGACCACAAGCGUUUAUAAUCUCUGCAACUUAACCAACAGGGCGCUUCAAGACUCUGAGGGAGGCCACAUCAGGUAUAACUGAAGACACAUUUGGUAUCUCAUGAAGUUGUUGCACUCAACCAGCCAUUGGUGCUAGAAAGCAGGCUCAAAAGUUUGAAAACGGGCAUGUAUACAAAAAGAGUUCAAGAUUCAACAUUGUGUCUGUCUUAUCCAAAGUACGAUCUUUGGUUUCCAAGAGACAGAUCCAUUUAAUUACUGUUUGUAAUAGAGAAAGCUUGCUUCAGUUCCAUUUAGAGUGAUAAAUUUACUGACUCAUUAUCAUGACUA